UAUACAAUUCAGUUUUUUAUAAUGGCUGCAUUUAACAACAGGUUAGCAAAAUUCCUCAAAUGUUAACAGUUGACUUGUGUGAACCUGUAUGAGCAGCUUGUGGCUUGUGGGCCCUGGGACUCUGAGAGGAGAGGAGAGAGGAUGAGCGAGACUGCAGGAAGGGCACAUGAUGGAACCGAUGGAGGACGUCACCAGUGGGAAUGUCUCUCUAUAUGACUGGCCCAGGGACUUCAAAGAAAAAGACACACCAAGGAAAGAUGUAUCAGAGUCACGUCAGCCAGAUGGUGGGAUAAGAGGGCCCCAGCCUUGCCCUCCCACAGGAAUACCGAUGGAACAGCCAUUCAUGGACAAAUAGACUUUUACUAGAGUUCCAGGGUCUCGUUGAGAGGUCCUAGGAGCCAGUGGAACCCAAAAUCGGAGAACAGCCGCAUUGCAAAGUGUGAGAACAGUCUCACUUUACGGACAUCCGCCAGUCCCCAGGCUGGCAUAGCCCAGUGCUUGGAGAGACUCCCUCAGUCUGCGGUUCCUCCCGCAGGAGACACAGAAAGUGAAGCGAGUGUGCCGGUUUCCCCAGCCUUUCCAAACGGGUCUGAGAGGUUUGCUUCUGUUCCCCAGAAUGCUUAGGGAAUUUGCAUUUCUGCCUCAUGGAGGGGCGGUUAAGAACAAAGAGAAGGGUUGGGGCUCAUGGCGACUGACAUGUGAAUCUCCAAAACCAGCCCAUGGGCCCUGCCCAUCAGCUGGCCCACUGGUGGAGCCCAGCAGCUGGCCUGUGGCAGCCCUUACAGAUGUCACCCCAUUGGGCACGCCCCACCCUACCAUGCGUGGCUCUACAAACAGCACCCAGCUUGCAGCGGCCAGCAUGGAUGCCAGUAGCUUGUUGGCUCUGCAGGAUUGGGAGAAAGCGCACAACCCCCCCGACUGCUCCUUCAGCAGGGAAGGAGAGUAAUGGAGCUUGUACCCAUUAUCCUGGGAUGCUGAGUACUACUCCGCGGAAGAUGGACCGGUGACUCAGCCCUUAGCCUGGUUCUGCAGAGUAGGGAGAAAGGGUGUACAAUUUCAGUCCUGCAUGAGAAUAAGUCCCAGAGAGGCACUGUGCCUCGCUGAGCCUAUAAUUAACAAUAUCGUACUGUAUACCUAAAAAUUUGCUAAUAGGAUAGGUCUUAUGUUAAGUGUUCUUAUCACAUAAAAAAAAUUAAAAAUUAAAGAGAUUGGAGGAAACUUCUUGUGGUGCCAGAUAUGUUUAUUGUACCAGUUGUGGUCAUGCUUUCACGAAUGUAUUCUUAUCUCCAAACUCAUCAGGUUGUGUGCAUUAAGUAUGGACAGCUUUUUGUGUGUCGAUCCUACCUCAAUAAAGUGUUGAAAAAUAA